rnacentral:rRNA from 1 species
CGAAGCAACGCGAAGAACCUUACCAGGUCUGACAUCCGAUGCUAUUCUAGAGAUAGAAGUUACUUCGGUACAUCGGUGACAGGUGGUGCAUGGUUGUCGUCAGCUCGUGUCGUGAGAUGUUGGGUUAAGUCCCGCAACGAGCGCAACCCCUAUUGUUAGUUGCCAUCAUUCAGUUGGGCACUCUAGCGAGACUGCCGGUAAUAAACCGGAGGAAGGUGGGAUGACGUCAAAUCAUCAUGCCCCUUAUGACCUGGGCUACACACGUGCUACAAUGGUUGGUACAACGAGUUGCGAGUCGGUGACGGCGAGCUAAUCUCUUAAAGCCAAUCUCAGUUCGGAUUGUAGGCUGCAACUCGCCUACAUGAAGUCGGAAUCGCUAGUAAUCGCGGAUCAGCACGCCGCGGUGAAUACGUUCCCGGGCCUU